AGUGAACGCUGGCGGUAGGCCUAACACAUGCAAGUCGAACGGCAGCACAGUAAGAGCUUGCUCUUACGGGUGGCGAGUGGCGGACGGGUGAGGAAUACAUCGGAAUCUACUUUUUCGUGGGGGAUAACGUAGGGAAACUUACGCUAAUACCGCAUACGACCUACGGGUGAAAGCAGGGGAUCUUCGGACCUUGCGCGAUUGAAUGAGCCGAUGUCGGAUUAGCUAGUUGGCGGGGUAAAGGCCCACCAAGGCGACGAUCCGUAGCUGGUCUGAGAGGGUGAGCAGACAAAAGGAAAAAGAGACACGGACGAAACCCAAGGGGGGGGCAAGAGGGGGAAAUUUGGGAAAGGGGGGGAAAGCCUGAACCAGCAAAACCGGGUGGGGAAAAAAGGCCUUGGGUUUGAAAAGCCCUUUUGUGGGAAAAAAAAAGGAGGAGGUUAAUACCCCGUUGUUGGGGGGGGACCAAAAGAAAAGGCACCGGCAAAUUUCG
rnacentral:rRNA from 1 species